UUAAGCGACUAAGCGUACACGGUGGAUGCCCUGGCAGUCAGAGGCGAUGAAGGACGUGCUAAUCUGCGAAAAGCGUCGGUAAGGUGAUAUGAACCGUUACAGCCGGCGAUGUCCGAAUGGGGAAACCCAGUGCAAUUCGUUGCACUAUCGUUAACUGAAUACAUAGGUUAACGAGGCGAACCGGGGGAACUGAAACAUCUAAGUACCCCGAGGAAAAGAAAUCAACCGAGAUUCCCCCAGUAGCGGCGAGCGAACGGGGAGCAGCCCAGAGUCUGAAUCAGCUUGUGUGUUAGUGGAACGGUCUGGAAAGUCCGACGGUACAGGGUGAUAGUCCCGUACACCAAAAUGCACAGGUUGUGAACUCGAAGAGUAGGGCGGGACACGUGGUAUCCUGUCUGAAUAUGGGGGGACCAUCCUCCAAGGCUAAAUACUCCUGACUGACCGAUAGUGAACCAGUACCGUGAGGGAAAGGCGAAAAGAACCCCGGCGAGGGGAGUGAAAAAGAACCUGAAACCGUGUACGUACAAGCAGUGGGAGCACCUUCGGGUGUGACUGCGUACCUUUUGUAUAAUGGGUCAGCGACUUAUAUUCUGUAGCAAGGUUAACCGUAUAGGGGAGCCGCAGGGAAACCGAGUCUUAACUGGGCGUUAAGUUGCAGGGUAUAGACCCGAAACCCGGUGAUCUAGCCAUGGGCAGGUUGAAGGUUGGGUAACACUAACUGGAGGACCGAACCGACUAAUGUUGAAAAAUUAGCGGAUGACUUGUGGCUGGGGGUGAAAGGCCAAUCAAACCGGGAGAUAGCUGGUUCUCCCCGAAAGCUAUUUAGGUAGCGCCUCGUGAACUCAUCUUCGGGGGUAGAGCACUGUUUCGGCUAGGGGGUCAUCCCGACUUACCAACCCGAUGCAAACUACGAAUACCGAAGAAUGUUAUCACGGGAGACACACGGCGGGUGCUAACGUCCGUCGUGAAGAGGGAAACAACCCAGACCGCCAGCUAAGGUCCCAAAGUCAUGGUUAAGUGGGAAACGAUGUGGGAAGGCACAGACAGCCAGGAUGUUGGCUUAGAAGCAGCCAUCAUUUAAAGAAAGCGUAAUAGCUCACUGGUCGAGUCGGCCUGCGCGGAAGAUGUAACGGGGCUAAACCAUGCACCGAAGCUGCGGCAGCGACACUAUGUGUUGUUGGGUAGGGGAGCGUUCUGUAAGCCUGCGAAGGUGACCUGUGAGGGUUGCUGGAGGUAUCAGAAGUGCGAAUGCUGACAUAAGUAACGAUAAAGCGGGUGAAAAGCCCGCUCGCCGGAAGACCAAGGGUUCCUGUCCAACGUUAAUCGGGGCAGGGUGAGUCGACCCCUAAGGCGAGGCCGAAAGGCGUAGUCGAUGGGAAACAGGUUAAUAUUCCUGUACUUGGUGUUACUGCGAAGGGGGGACGGAGAAGGCUAUGUUAGCCGGGCGACGGUUGUCCCGGUUUAAGCAUGUAGGCGGAGGUUCCAGGUAAAUCCGGUACCUUUUAACGCUGAGGUGUGAUGACGAGGCACUACGGUGCUGAAGUAACAAAUGCCCUGCUUCCAGGAAAAGCCUCUAAGCAUCAGGUAACAUUAAAUCGUACCCCAAACCGACACAGGUGGUCAGGUAGAGAAUACCAAGGCGCUUGAGAGAACUCGGGUGAAGGAACUAGGCAAAAUGGUGCCGUAACUUCGGGAGAAGGCACGCUGGUGUGUAGGUGAAGUCCCUGCGGAUGGAGCUGAGACCAGUCGAAGAUACCAGCUGGCUGCAACUGUUUAUUAAAAACACAGCACUGUGCAAACACGAAAGUGGACGUAUACGGUGUGACGCCUGCCCGGUGCCGGAAGGUUAAUUGAUGGGGUUAUCCGUAAGGAGAAGCUCUUGAUCGAAGCCCCGGUAAACGGCGGCCGUAACUAUAACGGUCCUAAGGUAGCGAAAUUCCUUGUCGGGUAAGUUCCGACCUGCACGAAUGGCAUAAUGAUGGCCACACUGUCUCCUCCCGAGACUCAGUGAAGUUGAAAUGUUUGUGAUGAUGCAAUCUCCCCGCGGCUAGACGGAAAGACCCCAUGAACCUUUACUGCAGCUUUGCAUUGGACUUUGAACCGAUCUGUGUAGGAUAGGCGGGAGGCAGAGAACCGAGGACGCCAGUCUUUGGGGAGCCGACGUUGAAAUACCGCCCUGAUUUGUUUGAGGUUCUAACCGCGGACAGUAAACCUGUUCCGGGACCGUGCAUGGUAGGCAGUUUGACUGGGGCGGUCUCCUCCUAAAGGGUAACGGAGGAGUACAAAGGUACGCUAGGUACGGUCGGAAAUCGUGCUGAUAGUGCAAUGGCGCAAGCGUGCUUGACUGCGAGACCGACAAGUCGAGCAGAUGCGAAAGCAGGUCAUAGUGAUCCGGUGGCACUGAAUGGAAGGGCCAUCGCUCAACGGAUAAAAGGUACUCUGGGGAUAACAGGCUGAUACCGCCCAAGAGUUCAUAUCGACGGCGGUGUUUGGCACCUCGAUGUCGGCUCAUCUCAUCCUGGGGCUGUAGCCGGUCCCAAGGGUAUGGCUGUUCGCCAUUUAAAGAGGUACGUGAGCUGGGUUUAAAACGUCGUGAGACAGUUUGGUCCCUAUCUGCCGCGGGCGCUGGAAGAUUGACGGGGGCUGCUCCUAGUACGAGAGGACCGGAGUGGACGCACCUCUGGUGUACCGGUUGUCACGCCAGUGGCACAGCCGGGUAGCUAUGUGCGGAAGAGAUAACCGCUGAAAGCAUCUAAGCGGGAAACUUGCCUGAAGAUAAGUCUUCCCGGAGGCUAGACCUCCCAGAAGAGUCGUUCGAGACCAGGACGUUGAUAGGUCAGGAGUGCAAGCGCUGUGAGGCGUUGAGCUGACUGAUACUAAUUGCUCGUGAGGCUUGAUCCU
rnacentral:rRNA from 1 species